GGUUGUAUCGAUUCGAUCGGGAUACUCAUCAAAUAAAAUCGAAAAACCGAGAAUGCUUCUUUUGCUAAUGGCGGGCCACAAACAACCUUCGGGGACAAGCUGUAAAGCCGGUGGAUUACAAAGGCGGAGAGCUCUCAAAUCUUAAUUACUCGGAGUUUCAUCACAUCAUCGGUAUGACCCUUUUU
rfam:Prevotella pleuritidis F0068 contig00009, whole genome shotgun sequence.